rnacentral:rRNA from 1 species
GAAAGCGUGGGGAGCAAACAGGAUUAGAUACCCUGGUAGUCCACGCCGUAUAACGAUGUCGACUUGGAGGUUGUGCCCUUGAGGCGUGGCUUCCGGAGCUAACGCGUUAAGUCGACCGCCUGGGGAGUACGGCCGCAAGGUUAAAACUCAAAUGAAUUGACGGGGGCCCGCACAAGCGGUGGAGCAUGUGGUUUAAUUCGAUGCAACGCGAAGAACCUUACCUGGUCUUGACAUCCACGGAAGUUUUCAGAGAUGAGAAUGUGCCUUCGGGAACCGUGAGACAGGUGCUGCAUGGCUGGUGUCGUCAGCUCGUGUUGUGAAAUGUUGGGUUAAGUCCCGCAACGAGCGCAACCCUUUAUCCUUUGUUGCCAGCGGUCCGGCCGGGAACUCAAAGGAGACUGCCAGUGAUAAACUGGAGGAAAGGUGGGGAUGACGUCAAGUCAUCAUGGCCCUUACGACCAGGGCUACACACGUGCUACAAUGGCGCAUACAAAGAGAAGCGACCUCGCGAGAGCAAGCGGACCUCAUAAAAGUGCGUCGUAGUCCGGAUUGGAGUCUGCAACUCGACUCCAUGAAGUCGGAAUCGCUAGUAAUCGUGGGAUCAGAAUGCCACGGUGAAUACGUUCCCGGGCCUUGUACACACCGCCCGUCACACCAUUGGGAGUGGGUUGCAAAAGAAGUAGGUAGCUUAACCUUCGGGAGGGCGCUUACCACUUUGUUGAUUAUUCAUGACUGGGGUGAAGUCGUAACAAGG